GCGGCCGUAGUCUAGCCUGGUACGAUAUCUGCCUGCCACGCAGACGGCCCGGGUUCAAAUCCCGGCGGCCGCACCA
rnacentral:tRNA from 1 species